GACGAACGCUGGCGGCGUGCUUAACACAUGCAAGUCGAGCGGUAAGGCCCUUUCGGGGGGUACACGAGCGGGCGAACGGGUGAGUAACACGUGGGUGACCUGCCCUCAGCUCUGGGAUAAGCCUGGGAAACCGGGUCUAAUACUGGAUAUGACUCCAUGACGCAUGUUGUGGGGUGGAAAGCCUUGUGCGGCUGAGGAUGGGCCCGCGGCCUAUCAGCUUGUUGGUGGGGUGANGGCCUACCAAGGCGACGACGGGUAGCCGGCCUGAGAGGGCGACCGGCCACACUGGGACUGAGACACGGCCCAGACUCCUACGGGAGGCAGCAGUGGGGAAUCUUGCGCAAUGGGCGAAAGCCUGACGCAGCGACGCCGCGUGAGGGAUGACGGCCU
rnacentral:rRNA from 1 species